CUACGGGGGGCAGCAGUCGAGAAUCUUCCGCAAUGGGCGAAAGCCUGACGGAGCGACGCCGCGUGGUUGAUGAAGUCUUUCGAGAUGUAAAAAUCUUUUAUGAUCAGGAAAGUUUAUUGAUCCGAUCAUGAAUAAGGGGCUGCUAACUCUGUGCCAGCAGCAGCGGUAAUACAGAGGCCCCAAGCGUUGUCCGGAAUCACUGGGCGUAAAGGGUGUGUAGGUGGUUUGAUUAGUCUUUCGUUAAAGCUCCCGGCUCAACUGGGAAAUCGCGAGAGAAACGGUCAGACUAGAGGAGGCGAGAGGUAUAUGGAACUCAUGGAGGAGGGGUGAAAUCCGUUGAUCUCAUGAGGAACACCAAAAGCGAAGGCAGUAUACUGGCGCCUUUCCUGACACUGAGACACGAAAGCGUAGGUAGCGAAUGGGAUUAGAUACCCGGGUAGUC
rnacentral:rRNA from 1 species